AUGAUCUCACAGGUUCAUGAGUUUGAGCCCUGUGUUGGGUUUUGUGGUGGAAGCAUGGAGCCUGCUUGGGACUCUGACUCACACUCCCUCCCUCUCCCUCUCCCUCUCCCUCUCCCUCUCCUCUCCCUCUCCCUCUCCCUCUCCCGCUCCCUCUCCCUCUCCCUCUCCCUCUCCCUCUCCCUCUCCCUCUCCCUCUCCCUUCCCUCUCCCUCUCCCUCCCCUCUCCCUCUCCCUCCCCUCUCCUCUCCCUCUCCUCUCCCUCUCCUCUCCCUCUCCUCUCCUCUCCCUCUUCCCUCUCCCUCUCCCUCUCCUCUCCCUCUCCCUCUCCUCUCCCUCUCCCUCUCUCUCCCCUCUCCCUCUCCCUCUCCCUCUCCCUCUCCCUCUCCCUCUCCCUCUCCCUCUCCCUCUCCCUUCCCUCUCCCUCUCCCUCUCCCUCUCCCUCUCCCUCUCCCUCUCCCUCUCCCUCUCCCUCUCCCUCUCCCUCUCCUCUCCCUCUCCUCUCCCUCUCCCUCCCCUCUCCCUCUCUCUCCCCUCUCCUCCCUCCUUCUCCCCCUCUCUCUCUCCCCUCCCUCCCCCCACCUCUGUCCAUCCUGUGCUCAUGCUCACUCUGUUUCAAAAAUAAAUAAACUUUUAAAAAUAAAUAAAGAUGUUAUCUUAUGUAGAGAGACUAGUACUAAAGGUGCAGUGACAAGAGAAUUGGAAAGCAGGGGGCUAAGAUUCCAGGAGCCGAAGCAUCAGUCCCCUGGCUCAAGCCUCUUAUUUUUGCAAAUUGAUGAUAGCAAGCACAUACAACAUAGUAUUUGGCAUCUUGACAGGUCACGCACCUGCAGUGUAUUCCAUACUGGGUCGUGGCACCAGACCAUGGGUCAUGGGUCUGGCACCAGACAAAACAUUCUUAUCCCCAGGCCUUGCGCCUGUAUGAUGUCCUUCUGGAGAGAACGAGCACUCCCAGCAGCUUUCCGUCCUGAGAAUGAAACUGCUUUUGGUUUCUUGCUGUUCUGUCCCUUUCCUUCAAGACAUUCUUCCAGUGCCUCCAGCUUCUUAUUCUCCAACAAUCUUAGUAUUCUUGGUAUUUAG
rnacentral:lncRNA from 1 species